GAUGAACGCUGACAGAAUGCUUAACACAUGCAAGUCUUUGGCAAAUCUGUGCUUGCACAGCAUAGCCAAGGCGGACGGGUGAGUAACGCGUAAAGAACUUGCCCUGCAGUCUGGGAUAACAGACGGAAACGACUGAUAAAACCUGAUAUAAUCAAGCCCACGCAUGUGGUGCUUGAUGAAAAGAAAUGCUGCAGGAGAGCUUUGCGUCCUAUUAGCUUGUUGGUGGGGUAAUGGCCCACCAAGGCAAUGAUAGGUAGCCGGCCUGAGAGGGUGACCGGCCACAAGGGGACUGAGAUACGGCCCUUACUCCUACGGGAGGCAGCAGUGGGGAAUAUUGGACAAUGGGGGCAACCCUGAUCCAGCAAUUCUGUGUGCACGAGGAAGGUUUUCGGAUUGUAAAGUGCUUUCAGCAGGGAAGAAGAAAAUGACUGACCUGCAGAGGAAGCGAC
rnacentral:rRNA from 1 species